rnacentral:rRNA from 1 species
GAUGAACGCUAGCGGCAGGCUUAAUACAUGCAAGUCGAGGGGCAGCAGGACUGUAGCAAUACAGUUGCUGGCGACCGGCAAACGGGUGCGGAACACGUACGCAACCUUCCUUUAAGUGAGGGAUAGCCCAGGGAUACUUGGAUUAAUACCUCGUAAUAUUUGAGAGUGGCAUCACUUUCUAAUUAUAGCUUCGGCGCUUAAAGAUGGGCGUGCGACUGAUUAGGUAGUUGGCGGGGUAACGGACCACCAAGCCUGCGAUCAGUAACUGGUGUAAGAGCACGACCAGUCACACGGGCACUGAGACACGGGCCCGGCUCCUACGGGAGGCAGCAGUAAGGAAUAUUGGUCAAUGGACGCAAGUCUGAACCAGCCAUGCCGCGUGGAGGAUGAAGGUCCUCUGGAUUGUAAACUUCUUUUAUCUGGGAAGAAACCCAUAUUUUCUAGUGUGGUUGACGGUACCAGAUGAAUAAGCACCGGCUAACUCCGUGCCAGCCGCCGCAGUAACAC